rnacentral:lncRNA from 1 species
CUCUUAUCCCAACUUAAAUAGAACAAAAAACAGAUAAUGGUGAUGUUAUUCCUCCAUCGAAUUAAUCGUAAACAUUUUAGCACAGAUGUUAAUUUAUUGAACUUAUUAAGAAAAAAGGCAAUUCUUUUUGAAAAUGUGAAACGUGAAAAUUGUCGAAAAGACUUAAUUUUAAAUUAUUUUAAUAUUAAAGGAAUAAAAAUAAAAAACAAUGAUAUACAUAUUAUGACAAACAUUUUAUGUAGACCUACAGGAAGAAUAAUGGUUUUAAUAGAUGAUAUAAAAAAACAAAAUUUUAAUUUUGAUUUUGAUAAUAUGAAUGAAGAACAUGAUACAAUUGAUACAUCUAAUGACAUAACAGAAAAUUUAUAUAAAAAAAAUAUUACUAAAAGUAAUUAUAAUAAUAGUAAUGAUAAUUAUGAUAAAUUUCAAAAUGGUUCUACUUCGACAGUUGAAAAUGGUGUAUCUGAUACGAAACAAACUCAAAAAGAAAAUAGGAAUUUAAAUGGGGAUUCAAAUACAAACCCAAAUCCAAAUGCACAUACAAAUACAAAUCCCAAUACAAACCCAAACCCAAACCCAAACGACGAAGAAAGUAAUCAAAAAGUUGAUAAACUACAUGACCAAUCGAAUGAUAACAUAGUGUUAAACCAUAUAUAUAAUAAUCCCAAUCUGAAAAAUUUAUUCAAUAAUUGUAAAUUCCAUAUAUGUGAUAAUUAUGAAAUUGAAAGGUAUGUUGAAGAAUGCGAAAGAUUUAUACGAUUCAGUGAAGAUAUAAAAAGAAUAUCCAAAUUUGAAAAUUUACACAAAAUUGUCACCAUAAUAAAUAUUCCCAACUGCUAUGGUAGAAAAGAAUUAUCACAUGUUAUUUAUGAAUGUGCUGGAAUAAAAGUAGAAAAAAAAAAUAUUAUUUUUAGAUUUAAAAAAAAUGGAAUUCAAAGUGAUUGUGCUUAUGUCUUAUGUAAUAAUACAAAUGAUGCUAAUGUUUUAAUUCAUAAAAUGCAAGAAUAUCCUAUAGCAAAAAAAUAUCAUUUAAAAGAAUUUUAUGGCACAGCUUUUUUAUAUGCAUCUAAAAAUAAUUUAUUUAUUAGUUCUGACAAAUUAGAUUAUAGUAUUUUUUUUUCUAAAUAUUUAAUAUUUACAUGUGGGUGGUAUAAAGAUAUAUCAAUAAAAGAAUUUGAAAGUUUUUUAAUAACAUUAAAAAUUUUUCCAAAAAAAAUUAUUAAAAUUAAUUAUAAUAAAAUAAAUCAAAAAGAAAAUGAACAUAAACAAAAUACUGAGUCAGAAGAUAUACCGGAAGUAUUUAACUCAGAACAAAAGAGGGACAUAAUCGAUACAAAUACAAAAAAGGAUUUAACAGAAAGUGAUCAGUCGAAUAACAAAUUAGUUUUAUCAGAAAAUAACCCAAAUCACAUUUUAAUAAAUAUCAACGAGCCUAGUUCCGACAAAGAAAAUAGCCACAUUACAACAAACGAUACUAAUGAUUUAAAUACAUCAUCUUUUGUUUUAUUUUUUGAAAACAUGAGAAUGGUUAAGAAAGUAUUUACAAAAUUAGAUAGACUAAAAAAAAAGUGGAAAAUUGCAACUACUAGCAACUUUUACGCAUAUCCAAAGAUAGUAAGUAUUAAAAUGAGACGAUAAAAAUAUAAACCAUAAAAAACGAAAUUGCAUGUUGUAUGUU